rnacentral:rRNA from 1 species
UACGUAGGCAGCAAGCGUUGUUCGGAGUUACUGGGCGUAAAGGGUGCGUAGGCGGUCCUAUAAGUAUGGUGUGAAAUCUCCCGGCUUAACUGGGAGGGUGCGCUAUAGACUGUGGGACUAGAGUGUGGGAGAGGAAAGUGGAAUUCCUGGUGUAGCGGUGAAAUGCGCAGAUAUCAGGAGGAACACCGGUGGCGAAGGCGGGUCUCUGGGCCGACACUGACACUGGAGAGACGAAAGCUAGGGGAGCGAAUGGG